UUUACAUUUGUAACCCUGAAGAAAUUAGUUUAAACACUUUCUUCACCAUUCUAUAAUGCUCCUUUGUUUUCCUUGCCAACUUGUUCAUUCAUUUUGUGGAAUUCAUUUAGAUUUGGAACUCUGACCUUUACCUACAAGGAUAA
rnacentral:rRNA from 1 species